rnacentral:rRNA from 1 species
UAGUGGCGAACGGGUGAGUAACACGUGGGCAAUCUGCCCUUCACUCUGGGACAAGCCCUGNGAAACGGGGUCUAAUACCGGAUAACACUCUGUCCCGCAUGGGACGGGGUUGAAAGCUCCGGCGGUGAAGGAUGAGCCCGCGGCCUAUCAGCUUGUUGGUGGGGUGAUGGCCUACCAAGGCGACGACGGGUAGCCGGCCUGAGAGGGCGNCCGGCCACACUGGGACUGAGACACGGCCCAGACUCCUACGGGAGGCAGCAGUGGGGAAUAUUGCACAAUGGGCGAAAGCCUGAUGCAGCGACGCCGCGUGAGGGAUGACGGCCUUCGGGUUGUAAACCUCUUUCAGCAGGGAAGAAGCGAGAGUGACGGUACCUGCAGAAGAAGCGCCGGCUAACUACGUGCCAGCAGCCGCGGUAAUACGUAGGGCGCAAGCGUUGUCCGGAAUUAUUGGGCGUAAAGAGCUCGUAGGCGGCUUGUCACGUCGGAUGUGAAAGCCCGGGGCUUAACCCCGGGUCUGCAUUCGAUACGGGCAGGCUAGAGUGUGGUAGGGGAGAUCGGAAUUCCU